rnacentral:piRNA from 1 species
UGCAUUUUGACCAGUUGCGGCUUUCCGAAA